rnacentral:rRNA from 1 species
AGUGAACGCUGGCGGUAGGCCUAACACAUGCAAGUCGAACGGCAGCACAGUAAGAGCUUGCUCUUACGGGUGGCGAGUGGCGGACGGGUGAGGAAUACAUCGGAAUCUACUUUUUCGUGGGGGAUAACGUAGGGAAACUUACGCUAAUACCGCAUACGACCUACGGGUGAAAGCAGGGGAUCUUCGGACCUUGCGCGAUUGAAUGAGCCGAUGUCGGAUUAGCUGGUUGGCGGGGUAAAGGCCCACCAAGGCGGCGAUCCGUAGCUGGUGUGAGAGGAUGGUCAGCCACACUGGAACUGAGACACGGUCCAGACUCCUACGGGAGGCAGCAGUGGGGAAUAUUGGACAAUGGGCGCAAGCCUGAUCCAGCCAUACCGCGUGGGUGAAGAAGGCCUUCGGGUUGUAAAGCCCUUUUGUUGGGAAAGAAAAGCAGCAGGUUAAUACCCCGCUGUUCUGACGGUGCCCAAAGAAUAAGCACCGGCUAACUUCGUG